CAGAGUAGGAACCUGUGCAUUCACAUUCUUGCCUUGUGAAUGUUCAUUCUUUGUUUGUAACACAAAACAAUAGGUCACUUCCCCUACAGCCAGACCAUGAUUCCUCACAACAAAUGUCAGCCCCUUCCCAACAAAGACGUAAGACGAACCCGAUGAGAAUGAUGACUGAUUAUUUUCCAUAUGUAUUGAUGAAAUGAAGUAUUCUUUAAAGCA